rnacentral:rRNA from 1 species
UACGUAGGGGGCGAGCGUUGUCCGGAAUCAUUGGGCGUAAAGCGCGUGUAGGCGGCUCGGUAAGUCCGUUGUGAAACCUUGGGGCUCAACCCCAAGCCUGCACUGGAUACUGUCGAGCUCGAGUCCGGGAGGGGAGAGCGGAAUUCCUAGUGUAGCGGUGAAAUGCGCAGAUAUUAGGAAGAACACCGGUGGCGAAGGCGGCUCUCUGGAACGGUACUGACGCUGAGACGCGAAAGCGUGGGGAGCGAACCGG